rnacentral:tRNA from 1 species
UGGUUUAGUUGGUAGAGCAUGGUGUUUGCAACGCCAGGGUUGUGGGUUCGAUUCCCAC